UCCAGCUAUUUGGCCCAACCCAUAUUAGAUUGUGUUAUAAAGACAUGGUAAAUUACAUCACGAAGGGAAGAGCAGAGGAAACAUAAUAUUCCUUCAAGACCCAUCAGCUCAGAUGUUAGCAGAACACCCCUAAGGAGGAAAACAAGAAAUUUUGGGUUUGAACUUGGUACUUCCCAGCAGCCCUGGGAGUGGGGUCAGAAGCCCUGCUGGGGGCCAAAGAACUCUGAGGAUCAAAGAUGUUGAGCAUCACCUUAGAGGCCAAAGAUCAGAACAGUGGAGGUGGCCUUUGAAGCCCAACCUGUCUUUCACCAGAGAGUGAGAACGGCCUCUAUUUCCAGGAAGCUCACUGCAGCAAUAAUCAUGAUGCUCUGAGCCUGACAAGCAAAAGAAAACUUCUUUAGGAGGAUAAAAGGGAGAUGAAGAAACAGAAAACACAUCAGCUCUCCAUCCAGAUUACAGAAAGCAGAAAACAUCCUGAAGUGAAUAACAUAGGAAUCGCUCUUUUUCCCCCCUGAGAUAGCAGGUUACUUAUGAGAAACAAGCUUGAAAUCUCUGCACCUGGACCAGCUUCCAGAGGCUUUUGUCCUGACCAGAUAUUUACUGAAUAACUAGAAGAUGCUAGAUGUUAUUCUAUUCAUUUUAUACCACUCUUCAAAUUACGGAUGUUUCCCCACCGAAACCGACCCUCACAAAAGAAAAACUAUCUGGGGCCUUGGAUCCUC
rnacentral:lncRNA from 1 species